UCGCUAUAAAUGUGUGGGGGAAUUUUUUUAUUUACGUAUUUAGACGCUUUUAAAGGUCGAAGCAUAUAUAGACUCGUAAAACCGUCACUAUGUUGCAAAAUAAACACGUGUAUCCUUCCUGUCCUUCCAUUGUCCCGCUAAUCUAAAAAUUUAAGCAUAAAUUAUUCUAAAAUCCCGCUUUUCACAGUACUUUCCAUUUCCACCUCCCACGAAUUCCUGAACGGUUGACAAUUCAACCUCAACAUCUAGUAUAGACUAAAGAGGAGAGAGAGAAUAUACUCCGUAAAUAACAAUGGCGUGAUUUGUCUCAAGGUCUUUCCUCAACGCUACCGGAUCUCCUUCCAUCCAACGUUACACCGCCUCCCUUCGCCGCUGCUCCCAAUUUCCGUCUGCAAUUCUCACCGCCACUAUUUCACGAACCCUAGCAACCUUGACGUAUUGGGAUGGGCUUUAUUGCUAAAACCGAUGCCAAGAAAUUUCGCAGGGAUACAAAAGCUGGCAGCCAAAGAGAAAGUGCAAAAUUAAGAAUGUCUGUCAGAUUCUAUGCGGAAUCACCAAACUCAUGUUCUGGUUUUGGAUCUUCAGUGCCUGGAAGCAUGAUUCUUAGAAAAUUUAAAUCAUGAGCAGUUGAUGCCAAGCAGGCUUGUAUUUGUGCUUUAACGAGCAGAACAAAAGAACUCUUCUUAGGUCACAUAGCGAGUGAAAGAAACGCCAGUGAAGGGGGACAUGGCGAGUUCUGCUGUCAAAAGUUGAGUAUUAUUAUUUUGUUUAUAAUAGACUUGUAUAUUUUAGAAAUUAUGGUGUUACUCCUUAAAGUUUUGAAUAUGUUUCUGAUACAAAGCUGUAAUUGGCAGGUAAAUGUCGUUAAAGGUCUGAAGAUGUACUGUGGUACACAAUGACUGAAAUUAUAUCUCAAAAGAAUUGGUCAUUGUUCUUAAUAUAUCUGCUUUUUAGGGAGAGUAUCUGGGGGAGGUUUAAUUUCUUUCAUUGUGUCAUUUUUAGUCGUAAGACUGAAUAUUUAACAAUAAUGUAAAUACAAUUUUCUUUUUGACGAGUCUGUGACUAGGAUAGAAUGAUCGUAAAGAGAACCUUGACCUUUUGUGGUACUAGAUACCAGAUAACAUGCAUAUGAGGUGUAAGGAAAAAAAUGUUCACGAGGAGUAGAGUUUUCAUAGGGGGGAAGGGUGAUUUGGCUUUUUAACGUUUCCUCCUUCACUGAACUCCUUAACUGAGAACAAGUUGUAACGUUGCCUCUUAUUUAUACCCCUUAAACUUUCUUAUUGUCUAUGGCUUUGGAUGUUUGCUCCCUCUUGAUAGGUGGGUUCGUGAGGGGAUUAUUGAAGAGAAACUUGCAACGGACUUGAAUUCUUUUCAACUGGAGGUAAAUUCUUUUGAUUGUUUUCAAUGUACUGGGAAUUUAAUCGUCUAUAUGCAAAAAUACUUUUUGAGGUAAUAUUCAAGGAUGCAUAUCGUCGUACUAAUCUCAUAUCCAUCAUAUGGCUUUGAAAUAUCUUAUAGAACAAUGAAAGCCUUCGAGUCGGACAAACAAAGCUUUCACAAUUGUCAUUUUGUAGCGUGGAUCAAGAAAUGCAAUAUUAGAAAACUUUGCAAGUACAUAUCAUCACAGUACUCGUUCAAGACGUUGAGCAUUUUACUGUGUCAUUAGACUCAAAAAUACAUUAGAAAUGGAAGACUCUAGCUUAGCUUCUUCUUAUAGUUCAUUAGCACUGAAGUUGGAAUUUUUAAGUAAUUUCUAUUGUUGGGUUGUGGAUAAAUGCAGUCUGGUUCCUUUCUCUUAACUAUUACUACUGCAUUAUAUUUGUUGUGACUUUGUUGAUUUAGCUGUCUGGGAUUUGUUCUCCUUUUUCUGCUGCGGGGUUGUGUUGUUUAGUUUCUGGUAUGUGUAGGUAAAAGGUUGUCUUUUACUUGUUUCCCUUCUUUUCGGCUCUGCUUGGUUCUGCUCAACAACAAUGUGUUGAGAGUUAUUGGUGGUGUUUUGACUUUUGACUAGUAAUAAGGUUGUAGUAGUGUUGCAAAGGUUCUGAUUUUGGCUUGAAUUUUUAGCGCUUAGGCCCUAGGUACUACUUAGGUUAUGUUGUUUGUUAUUUUGUUAAGUUAUGUUGAAGCUAAGCUAGCAUGGUGAUAGGAUUUACUCUAAAAAAAGGGUUCUAGGAAGUUGUUUUUAUUUCAAUAUAUUGUAUUUAUUUUAGUUUGAUUAGAAAAUGUAAAUUAAUGCAGGAAUUAAUGAUUAUUAUCACCUUUUGUAAUUAAAUUAUUGAUAAAUAUAAAUUAGAGUUGUUUUAUGAAUUUAGAACAUUA